GGAAACGGUAGCUAAUACCGCAUAACGUCGCAAGACCAAAGAGGGGGACCCUCGGGCCUCUUGCCAUCGGAUGUGCCCAGAUGGGAUUAGCUUGUUGGUGGGGUAACGGCUCACCAAGGCGACGAUCCCUAGCUGGUCUGAGAGGAUGACCAGCCACACUGGAACUGAGACACGGUCCAGACUCCUACGGGAGGCAGCAGUGGGGAAUAUUGCACAAUGGGCGCAAGCCUGAUGCAGCCAUGCCGCGUGUAUGAAGAAGGCCUUCGGGUUGUAAAGUACUUUCAGCGGGGAGGAAGGGAGUAAAGUUAAUACCUUUGCUCAUUGACGUUACCCGCAGAAGAAGCACCGGCUAACUCCGUG
rnacentral:rRNA from 1 species